UGCAGUCGAACGAUGAAGCCCAGCUUGCUGGGUGGAUUAGUGGCGAACGGGUGAGUAACACGUGAGUAACCUGCCCUUGACUCUGGGAUAAGCGUUGGAAACGACGUCUAAUACCGGAUACGAGCUUCCACCGCAUGGUGAGUUGCUGGAAAGAAUUUUGGUCAAGGAUGGACUCGCGGCCUAUCAGCUAGUUGGUGAGGUAAUGGCUCACCAAGGCGACGACGGGUAGCCGGCCUGAGAGGGUGACCGGCCACACUGGGACUGAGACACGGCCCAGACUCCUACGGGAGGCAGCAGUGGGGAAUAUUGCACAAUGGGCGAAAGCCUGAUGCAGCAACGCCGCGUGAGGGACGACGGCCUUCGGGUUGUAAACCUCUUUUAGCAGGGAAGAAGCGAAAGUGACGGUACCUGCAGAAAAAGCACCGGCUAACUACGUGCCAGCAGCCGCGGUAAUACGUAGGGUGCAAGCGUUGUCCGGAAUUAUUGGGCGUAAAGAGCUCGUAGGCGGUUUGUCGCGUCUGCUGUGAAAUCCCGAGGCUCAACCUCGGGUCUGCAGUGGGUACGGGCAGACUAGAGUGCGGUAGGGGAGAUUGGAAUUCCUGGUGUAGCGGUGGAAUGCGC
rnacentral:rRNA from 1 species